GACGAACGCUGGCGGCGUGCUUAACACAUGCAAGUCGAACGGAAAGGCCCUGCUUUUGUGGGGUGCUCGAGUGGCGAACGGGUGAGUAACACGUGAGUAACCUGCCCUUGACUUUGGGAUAACUUCAGGAAACCGGGGCUAAUACCGGAUAGGAGCUCCUGCUGCAUGGUGGGGGUUGGAAAGUUUCGGCGGUUGGGGAUGGACUCGCGGCUUAUCAGCUUGUUGGUGGGGUAGUGGCUUACCAAGGCUUUGACGGGUAGCCGGCCUGAGAGGGUGACCGGCCACAUUGGGACUGAGAUACGGCCCAGACUCCUACGGGAGGCAGCAGCGGGGAAUAUUGCACAAUGGGCGGAAGCCUGAUGCAGCAACGCCGCGUGCGGGAUGACGGCCUUCGGGUUGUAAACCGCUUUCGCCUGUGACGAAGCGUGAGUGACGGUAAUGGGUAAAGAAGCACCGGCUAACUACGUG
rnacentral:rRNA from 1 species